UGUGUGUGUGUGUAUGUGUAUGUGUGUGUAUAUGUAUAUAUAUAUACACACACACACACACACACACACACACA